rnacentral:rRNA from 1 species
AGCGAACGCUGGCGGCAGGCCUAACACAUGCAAGUCGAGCGCCGUAGCAAUACGGAGCGGCAGACGGGAGAGUAACACGUGGGAACGUACCCUUUGGUUCGGAACAACCCAGGGAAACUUGGGCUAAUACCGGAUAAGCCCUUACGGGGAAAGAUUUAUCGCCGAAGGAUCGGCCCGCGUCUGAUUAGCUAGUUGGUGGGGUAACGGCCCACCAAGGCGACGAUCAGUAGCUGGUCUGAGAGGAUGAUCAGCCUCACUGGGACUGAGACACGGCCCAGACUCCUACGGGAGGCAGCAGUGGGGAACCUUGCGCAAUGCGCGAAAGCGUGACGCAGCAACACCGCGUGAGGGAAGACGGCCUUAGGGUUGUAAACCUCUUUCAGAUGGGACGAAGGUGAUGCGGUGAAUAGCCGAUGUCAUUGACGGUACCGUCAGAAGAAGCUCCGGCUAACUACGUG